GCUGGGAUAGCUCAGUCAGUACAGCAUGAGACUCUUAAACCUUAGGGUCAUGGGUUCGAGCCCCCCAUUCGGCA